CGGCUCAUUAUACGCCUCGCGAAUCUGACCAAACUGUCUCGGAUCCAUACAUUCAUACUCGAAUCAGAUCACGGGAAAAAAUCCCGGCAACCAUCAUGCAACCAACGUUUCUCGUCGCCGCCGUAGUCGCUUCCGUCAUCGUAUACGCCAGCGCGGUACCCUCAUGCGAUCCUGCGGCUCUCGGUGCUUCUCUAACGAGCGUGCUCCCAUUGGCUUCUCGACCGGCUUGUCUAUGCGUAUCAAUUCUAGGCUGUGAGAGAGGCCAGCUCGAAGCAACCCCGGAUUCCUUCAAAUAUCGAGGUCCUCGCCUCGGUGUUUGGUCUGGCAUUCGGGAAGAGGAUCACCUCAAUAUCCGAGAGCCCAUCGCGGAAGCCGGAAGAGAUCUUCUGCCUAUCAGAGAAGGGAACCAGAUUGUUCUCGUAGUGUGCAACAAUGGGGUGUUCGAAAGGGUCUUCGUCGACUUCACCGAGGCACCGACUGCCGAAGAGACCAGGGCUCUCAGAGAGAAAUACGGUAUUGACAUAGGCCUCAACAUCGUACAAUGUAGAUUCUGAUGAGCAUUUAAUAAAAAAAAUGUCCGCAUCGGAA